CACAGCUUUGCUGUGCACAUUGUAUGUGUGUCCUCCAUAAUUAAAGCUUUAUUUGAACCUCCCCCUUCUUUCCACAACUCUCUUGGUUAGAUCAAAACAGUAGAGACAAAAACUGAAACAUGCCUGGGGUGCAGGAGAGAACAAGAAAGACUAUUUAGUGAAGUAGGCUAAUGGUGUUGCAGAGGAAGGGGGCUGAUUUUCACAUCUCAGAACUGUUAAGCCUGCAAAUAUUACUGAAAUCACAUCUGGGAACAAAGCUCUGCUUUAAGUAAGUUCACCAUGAGUGUUGCUAAGCAAUGGAGAAUAGAUGAGAGAAAGGGAGGGUGCCUGACUUUAGGAUUAGGAGGAUGGAUAGAAGAUAAAGUAAGGCUUCUGCACAGCUUUAUUUGUAAAAAACUUCCAAGUUCUUUGUUUUUAUUGCCUGUCUUCCAAACUAGUUGUACCAUGAUUAAUCAGGUCUCAUUCAUUAUCCACCCCAAUGCACAGCCAGCACAAAGAGAGGUGCUGCAUCCUGGAGCACGGGCAUAAGCAUCUGAGCACCAGAACUGCCAACAUCUGUCUCUGGAUUUCACAGCACCAUGAAAGCGGAAUUACAUCAACUCCUGCUCCCAGCAGAGGUCUGGACCCUGUGACCAGUUCAUCCUGCCUCCUAAUUAACUUCUCAGGCUGGGACCAAGCCACAGACUUCAUUGAGUUAGCACACCCAGCAGAGAACUGCAGUGAAAUAAAGGAAGAAUGGACAGCUGCAGUGAAAUAAAGGACCACAGACUAACUCUCUCAUACAAGGAAUAUUAUCAAUAUUUGCACUGAGAGGGACCAGCUGAUGAAUGAGAAGGUGAAAAUUAUAGGUUUUAGAGACAUAUGAAGAAAAGUCAUUUAAUCCACAGGAAAUUAAGAUCAUAUCUGAACUGAGUCCUUUACUUGAAUUGGGAAUAAAACUCUUCAUAAGACUUUUCCA
rnacentral:lncRNA from 1 species